rnacentral:rRNA from 1 species
UACGUAGGGGGCGAGCGUUGUCCGGAUUCAUUGGGCGUAAAGAGCUCGUAGGCGGUUCGGUAAGUCAGGUGUGAAAACUCCAGGCUCAACUUGGAGACGCCACCUGAUACUGUCGUGACUAGAGUCCGGUAGGGGAGCAUGGAAUUCCUGGUGUAGCGGUGAAAUGCGCAGAUAUCAGGAGGAACACCGGUGGCGAAGGCGGAUCUCUGGGCCUUACCUGACGCUCAGGUGCGAAAGCUAGGGGAGCGAACAGG